CGCCAUCACGAGUUGGUUGACCGUUAUGGAAUAACCGUUUCACAAAUGAUAUCGGAUAUGUUCCUUACGUCGUAACUACCAUCCCCUUCCCUUUCAUAAAUGUGACCGAAUUAGACUACUGAUCGGACUUGUUAUCUUUUAAGAAACACGACGGGUGCCGCAUGUGGAGGAUCUGCUUACUCUUCCGGAUUACCUGAGAUCACCCCUAGUUUUUGGUGGGGUUCGUGUUGUUUAUUCUUUAGUUUUUUAUGUUGUGUCGUGUGUACUGUUGUUUGUCUGUCUGUCCUUUUAAUUUUUAGCUAUGGCGUUGUCAGUUUAUUUUCGAUUUAUGAGUUUGACUGUCCCUCUGGUAUCUUUCGUCCCUCUUUUGCAAAAAGAUUCUCUUAAAAUCUAAAUUAACAAUUAUCCUUUCAACUUAAAACUCUUAAGAAACCCUUGUUCGUAACUACACACAACACACCCACUCUAAUAAUGACAAGAGAUUAAAACUAGUUUAAUCAAACAAAUGUUAUACACAAAAUCAAACGAAAUUAACACAAAAUGAUAUACAAUAUAAAAACGAAAUAAAAAAACAUAAUUAAAAAACUUUAAAAGUAAUUUGCAAAAAUAAAAAUCAUGUCCUCAUGACGUCAUCGGUUUCAACUUCCUGUGCCACUUGACUGUGCGAAAUUAACAACAGGGAUGUCAUCUUCAUUUCAUCCAAACGACUCAAGAUGAGUGGUUGGUGGUUUCGGAUUGCGCGGUUCGGGAAUCCAAACUGGUUUAUACAUAUCUACCAGCUGAAGGACGCCUACGGGUACGGGAGUUUCUCGCUACAUUGAAGACAUAUUGGUGGCCUUCGACUGUUGUCUGCUCUAUGGUCGGGUUGUUGUCGCUUUGACACCAUUUCCCUUU
rnacentral:lncRNA from 1 species